GUUCUGGGUCGAGAAGCUGGAUAAUGUACACGGCCCAACACUUAUCCAUAUUAUUUUCUGUACAUUACCAAGGUGUCCAUAUUUGUUAUAUUUGUUACAAACAGUGCAUGCACAUUACCAAUCAUUUGAUAAAUGUUUGUUAUUUUUUAGAAAAAAUAUCAGAAAACAACAAAAAAAUAACAAAAGAAAAAAAAAUACAACAAACAUGUUUUCCAAAUGCAGAGGUGUAGACUCCAAUUGACAGCUUUAACACUGCAAAGCACCAGGUACACACAGUUUUAUCAAACAAGAAACACCUGAACAGCCAAAGACUGACACCAAGGACCAAAAUCCAGAUUUCAACCAAGUCCAAAAGAGGUUUGUUCUCUCAAACAAGGCUAUUUAUUUGUAAUGUUUAAUGGCAUUUUAUUUGAAUCCUCUCUGUAGAGAGUGGCACUCGGCUGACACAGUGAAAAGAGAAAGUGCUUCUGCAGCAGUGCCCCAGAGCAAUAAUAACCAAAGGGGCAGUGGGGGUGCUCUCCAGCCCUGUAGAUGGAUUUCCUCAUCAGCACGUGCAGACCAGUGCCCAUUGCAGCUUUAAGCAGUUCUGUUUAUAUUCUAUUGGACACGAAUGUGUGUGCCGUCUGCAGUUACUGUAUAUUUAUUUAUGUCAGAGUAUGUCAUUUUCCCGUUGGGUGAAAAAGGGGGUUUUAUGUUGUAAACAUUGAAUAGGUGAAGCAAACCUCUGAAAGCAGCAGAAGACGCACUUAGGCCACACUGCACAGAGCACACAGCCAAACUCCUUGGUGCUACAAACGCGUUAUAAUUCUGACCUCAGAAGCAUGGAGGCCCGAAAGGUCCUGGUAGUUUGUCCUGGAACACUUCCUAUGACUCUGUUCUCUCCCAACUCCAAUGUCCAUCUGCAUUUAACUGAAGGGACAACCCAUCCAAAAAGGUGUGUGACACCCUAGGGACUCCUCAAAAGCUGUGAACAAACAGCCAAGCUGUUGUAACAGUGAAGUAAACAAUGAUUCAUGUGUGUACUCGUCAUAAUCAGGGGCAGACCUGAGCUAAAAGAGAAAAACUCUAAUGUACAUUGUCAGUAACUCUUCUGAAGCUCUACUUUUCAUUUCUUCCCUCCUCUUUGUGUGUUUUGCUACAAAUUCCUCGGUGGCAAACCAGCUCACUCUACCUCUACAGCCGAUAGAGCAUCAGUGGCAGCACUGAUCCUGGUUGAGUCGAAACCAAAUGGGCACAAGAGAACAGGAAAUAAACCCAAAGUUUAAGCUCAUACAGCUGCAAAACCAUAUCAUACUUGCAGACCUCAAGAAUAUGAAGCGUAAAUGAAUACGAAAUCAAUGAAAAGGAUUCACUUUUGUUAUGUUCCUUAAUGCCUAUGGCAUUUAUAGAGAUCAAUGAUGUUGUUAUAACAGAUUUUAAAAUUGUGCAAAAUUUAAGAGGUGUUUGUUGAUUCAUACUGCGAUGAUAGUAAAGACCACAAAUGUAGUUUCUCUGUUUUUUCUCCUGGUCCCCGCUCCUCUCUCCUCUCUGUUGUGAACUGAAAAGAGAGACAGUGAAGCUUGUACAAACCAGAGGUAUUUGAGGCAUGCUUUUUCACAACAGGGAUUGUAUGAUUUCAGUUUGGAAAAGUCUGGGGCCGCAGGUGAACUUCAAAAGGCCGUAGCAUUUGGGGAAAGUGAGUUGAUCUAGGGGUGGGAGGGGUUUUGCAUUCUGUUAAGAAUUUAUUGUGAAAAGCUCACAUAAUUUGAAGUUGUUGUGCAAUAUAUUGAGACGUGGAUCCACAGGUUAGUGGUAGGCUGACACCAGGCGGUCUGUCAUCGCCUUGUGUCAGUGUGCUCGAGAGCUUUCAGUCUACUAUGUCAGAACUGUGGUUUCCUGUUGACUUGAUUUCUUUUGUUUUGUUUUUUGUUUUUUUUUGGGCUGUAAACUAUGGUCUGUCAGUCUGUGAAAUUUUGCAGUAUAAUUCUGGUAUUGUUGUUCUCUUUACAG
ensembl:lncRNA